ensembl:lncRNA
UCGGUAUCACGAUCUCUAUUUCCUUUACUGAUGCAGAGUUGAGGGCCAGAGUUUACCCCGACAGUGUGAGAGCUGGAGACAACGUUACUCUCAAAUGUCAAACGUCCUGCCAGUUUCCCAGCACAGUUUGGUUUAAAGGUGAACUUCCUGUAGCCAACUCAGAGUUCCAGGCUCAAGCAGAGGAUGCUGGGAAUUAUUGUUGUGCUGCCAAAGGACAGGAGUCCAUUCCAUCUGAACCUGUGGCUCUGAAAGUACAGUAUCCCCCGUUGAUUGUAUCUGUGGGGUGAGUUAUUCGGACCACCUGACAGAAGUGUGAAUGUGAGCUGCAACAGUGCUGCUGACCCUCCUGCAGACAACUACACCUGGUACAGGACCUCUGCUUCUGGCUCCAGCUCCUGGUUUCCCCUCCCGCUGGGAUCAGGACCGGUGCUGUCUCUCUCCUCACGCUGGACUGGUGGCAGAGAAGCACCAAUGAUCAUGACAACAUCGGCACUGACUAAAUGGGCGAAAUAAGGUGGUUAUACAGAAUGAAAUACUGGAAGCUGACCUCUGCCUGAGCCUGGCAACGAUUCAUUAGCCUGCAGUUCAUUUCUAUCUUUGCUGUCUGCAGCUCAAGGUACAAACCGACCGCGACCUCCUUUCCUUGCAAAGGUUCAGUCCUUCUAACGCCACUGGAGACAUCACCAAGAAAACAGAACUUAAUUUCAAUGAAUGAAGGCAAAAUGUGCAAAAUGUCUCUCAAUAAAUACCUUUUCAUCAUGAA